CAGAACUGUGCUUUCACUUUCAUAUAACAGCUAAGAGGGAGAACAUUUCAGGAAGAGACAUGUGCAGUCUGCAUUAGCUCUUAAGCUGUCUGAAGGAACUGAAGAAAGCAAGAUCUGCCACAGGAAUGAGAACAUGGCUGGGGAAAAGGCAGAGCUGUUGUCUUCUCUUAGACACUUUCACUUUUGUGUGAGCUGUUCUAUAUCACUUAGAAAAAUGGGAACUUCUCCAGGUUUGCACCACUCAUGCAUGCCAGAAUCCUCAGAGCUCCGGCUGCCAUACUGGCCAUUGAGUUCCCAUUUCUUUUGAGAGUCUUCCCUCCCCUGGCCCCAUGUGACUCCUUCCGGCUCCACCAGAUCAUCUGUAACUCCGCAACUUAACUGUCUGGGCGCUUCCAAUUACUUGACAGCUCUCCAUCCAGGUAGGUGACCCUGUUCAGUUGAGCGCACAUUCACACAAUCCAGUGCAGUUUAACUAAUGUGUGAGCAAUGACCACACACUUGACACAGUCACACCUCAGUCUGGAACCUUCUGGAGCAUUGCCCGCAGUGACCUGAUGGGUCUGAUCUGAACUUCUUUAUUAG
rnacentral:lncRNA from 1 species